rnacentral:rRNA from 1 species
AGAACGAACGCUGGCGGCAGGCUUAACACAUGCAAGUCGAGCGCCUCGCAAGAGGAGCGGCAGACGGGUGAGUAACACGUGGGAACGUGCCCAAAGGUACGGAACAACUCCGGGAAACUGGAGCUAAUACCGUAUGUGCCCGAAAGGGGAAAGAUUUAUCGCCUUUGGAUCGGCCCGCGUCUGAUUAGCUAGUUGGCGGGGUAAUGGCCCACCAAGGCGACGAUCAGUAGCUGGUCUGAGAGGAUGACCAGCCACAUUGGGACUGAGACACGGCCCAAACUCCUACGGGAGGCAGCAGUGGGGAAUAUUGGACAAUGGGCGCAAGCCUGAUCCAGCCAUGCCGCGUGAGUGAUGAAGGCCUUAGGGUUGUAAAGCUCUUUCGCCGAGGACGAUAAUGACGGUACUCGGAUAAGAACGCCCGGCUAACUUCGCGCCAGCAGCCGC